AUGGCAGUCACUCUCACUGAUGGAAUGUAAAUUAGAAUUUACUAGCAAAAAAUUCUGGGAAAUGUGCUCUUCAGAACUUACUUUUCACAGGAAAGCAUCAUAUUGCUAAAGGAGACAAAUGACCACUUAAAAGUAACCAUUAAUAUAGAUUAUUUAUGGACGAUUUUGUCUUGACUAUUAAUUAGGGGAGUAAUUGUAUAUCUAAACUUUAUAUCAGACCGCCAGUGGAUUUACUG
rnacentral:lncRNA from 1 species